AUCAGCUACGCUACGGUGAAUACGUUCUCGGGUCUUGUACACACCGCCCGUCACACCAUGGGAGCUGGUAAUGCCCGAAGUCGGUUUUGUUAACCACGGAGACAACUGCCUAAGGCAGGACUGGUGACUGGGGUGAAGUCGUAACAAGGUAUCCCUACGAGAACGUGGGGAUGGAUUACCUCCUUUCUACGGA
rnacentral:rRNA from 1 species